AUUUCCCGCAAUUUUUCUUUUAAAAACCUAAAGGCCUUUGUCUCCCGGUGCCACUCUUUGCUGACCAGCAAGGGUGACCCCGUUGUACAAUGGUUAAUAAACCUCUUGCUUUUGCAACGAGUCUUGGUCUGGGGGAGUCUCUGGGAAGGGCACGAUUGAACUCCUGAGCUGUGAGACCCCAGGUCUUACAUUUUUGGUGCGUUUGGCCGGGAAAGGGCGUGCUCCUUCCCCAACCCUCAUCAGACUGAACUCGGAGGUCGAGCUCGGAACAGAAAGUCCCAAAAUCCUGGCAGUAGCUCCCCAAGGUCUCCGAGAAGAUUUGGACAACGACAGAUGACUGCAACUCUGGAUUGUGGUAUGCUAACCACUGGGCAAUACUGCCCCAACUGGCCCACUGCUAGGGCCCAGCCUAAACUGUGGACAAAGCCGGGGACACCUGAAGAGCCAUUGUCUCACAUUGUGAGAGGCAAGGUGAGGUCAAUCUCUCCUGUUCCUCUUUCCACAGCAGCAGUUUCUCAUCCUCUAUGCCUGAUGGCUGGACUGCCUCUGCUCAGAAAGCCAGGAGACUACAUGAGCCAGGCACACUGCCUAGGUGAUAGACUAACUAGUCAUCUCUGUCAUUUUGAUUGGUACAUUUACUUAGCUCAUAAUUUAUCCUUCUCAGGUCUCUGAUCACAUUGACAGCUAGGCUGAAAGGCUAGGCUUAGUUAACAGUAACUUGGCAGUUAAAGAGCAGACAGUUAGGUUCACUAUCAGCUCAUUGGACAGUUCAUUAGUUAGUUAAAACUACUGGGUACUAUAUCUUUUGUAUAAAAAAAAAAAACAAAAAACAGGUUUGCCCUGCUCACAGGCUUUACAUCAGUUGCCAAUGUCUUAUAUUAAUAGUUAAAUAAAAAAAUAUAUAAGGUUUAUAUAGGGUCUGAGGAUAUAGGAGUUCAGGUUAUAAAAAUCUAAAAAAUGUUGGUCUACAUACUGAUCAAAGUGUCAAUUUAAUGGACGUCAGGUUAACACUUAAGUAAAAAAAAAGUACAAGCAGUUUCUCACGCAGGCAAUUUUACUUAGCCAAAAUAUAGGAGGGUUUACUCAAGGUUGCACAAAGCCUGCUGUCUGGUUACUAUGGUUGCACGGAGUUUCUCAGGGUCAGAGCAGUCCACUGUAAGACCACCAAGGUCAGUCUGUGAGAGACUGGACUUUAAAAAAUAGCCAAGAGGCUGAGUUCCGCUGCUCAGAUGCCGUUAACUCCAAAAAGGCUGCCACAUGGACACACUUGUUUAUAAAAGAUAUAAAACAAACAGCUGACUGGUACCAAUUCUGUUGGAUAUAGUUUUUAUCUGUUACUCUCAAAAUGUUGCUGUAUUAGAUUUGCUGAUAUGUUACUUUUCUGAGUUUCCUUUUGUGUACCAAAAAUUUAUAUGAGUUUAUAAAAAUCAAAAGGUCAUAAGACCUAGAUCUGGCAUAGCUCAAAUGGAUCCCAGAAGAGUUUUUCCCUGGUGUUGGGAUUCCUCACUUUUUCCAUUUAACAGACAAAUCUUAACUUCUGUCUCUAGUCUGAAUUUGUCUCAGCAGAUUUUCACCUGGUUGACUCUGGGCUGCAAACUGAAAUCUGGACUUGUUGGAAGCUGACAUGACUGCUCCCUGUCUCCUCAAUUGGAUCCACUAACCAGAGACUGUUAAGGACUGCCUCAUUGACCAGCCUUUGACUGGCUCCUAGUAAUCUUUACCCAUGUACUCUCCCCAACUUUUGACCAGCAUUUCAGCCUCUUUUAAACUGAGAUUUCAGCGAUCCAUCAUCAGCAUGAAGAAAUUCCAGAAGACGGAUCAUCGGCCCAUUGUCCCAUUCUACAGGCUGAAAUGCUAAUGUGGAGGACCUGAAUUUGAUCCCCAGGACACACCUUAUGGAAAGAAGGAACUGAUUCCCAUAAGCUAUCUUCUGACCCCCAUAUGUGCACUGUGACAUACUUGCAGACACAAACACACACACGUAAAUAAAUGUAAUAAUUAUUUUAAAUUUUAAUAAAAAUAAAACCAAAAUAUAUUAAAAAAUUUUAA